GAAGGAAAAAGGAAGAAGGAAAAAGUAAAAGUCCAUUCCAUUCUUUUGUAAGAAGGAAAAUGUGAAAAGAAAAAAAGUUAUUUGGAUUUAUAUGAAAAGCUAUUUUAUUUUCCCCCUAAAUUGAGCAAAAAAUAGUAAAAAACAAUGUUAAAUUUUACUGUUUUCCCUCUAUGCCCUUUUUUCCUCAAAUAGUUAUUUUUUAAUAUAAUUUUAUUU
rnacentral:misc_RNA from 1 species